UAAAUCCGAAAACCCCUAAUUUCAUUCCAAAACUCUCGUCUUCUUCUUUCUCUCUCUCUUCUCUGCUGCUGCAACAAUGGCGGAACUAAAACUAUCAGAAAGUCGAGACCUUACUCGAAUCGAACGUAUAGGAGCACACUCUCACAUUCGAGGGCUUGGUUUAGAUUCUGCCCUAGAACCUCGAGAUGUAUCAGAAGGCAUGGUAGGUCAAGCUCCUGCUCGCAAAGCAGCUGGAGUCAUUCUUCAGAUGAUUAAAGAAGGUAAAAUCGCUGGUAGAGCUGUUCUUUUAGCUGGUCAACCCGGAACAGGUAAAACUGCAAUCGCUAUGGGUAUGGCUAAAUCUUUAGGUCAAGAAACCCCUUUUGCUAUGAUGGCUGGUAGUGAACUUUUCUCAUUGGAAAUGUCAAAGACUGAAGCCCUAAUGCAAGCUUUUCGUAAGUCUAUUGGUGUUAGAAUUAAGGAAGAAACUGAAGUAAUUGAAGCUGAAGUUGUUGAAGUUCAGAUUGAUAGACCUGCUGUUGCUGGUGCUGCAUCAAAAACUGGGAAGAUGACUUUAAAAACUACUGAUAUGGAAACAGUUUAUGAUUUGGGUGCAAAGAUGAUUGAAGCUCUUGGUAAACAGAAAGUUCAGAGUGGUGAUGUUAUUGCUAUUGAUAAGAGUUCUGGAAAAAUUACUAAACUUGGGAGAUCUUUUGCUAGGUCUAGAGAUUAUGAUGCUAUGGGUCCUCAAACUAAGUUUGUUCAGUGUCCAGAAGGGGAGUUGCAGAAGAGAAAAGAAGUUGUUCAUUGUGUUACUCUUCAUGAAAUUGAUGUUAUUAACAGCAGGACACAGGGAUUCUUAGCUCUCUUCACUGGUGAUACAGGUGAAAUCCGUGCGGAAGUGAGAGAACAGAUUGACACAAAAGUGGCGGAAUGGAGAGAGGAAGGGAAGGCAGAGAUUGUGCCUGGUGUCUUGUUUAUUGAUGAGGUUCACAUGCUUGACAUUGAAUGUUUCUCUUUUCUGAAUCGUGCUUUAGAAAAUGAUAUGGCACCUAUCUUAGUGGUUGCCACCAAUAGAGGAAUCACAAAUAUCCGAGGUACAAACUACAAAUCCCCACACGGGAUCCCGAUCGACCUCCUUGACCGUUUGCUUAUCAUCUCAACACAACCCUACAGUGAGGAUGAGAUCCGUAAGAUCCUCGACAUUAGGUCCCAAGAGGAAGAUGUUGAAAUGUCUGAUGAUGCAAAGGUUUUGCUAACAAAAAUUGGGGUAGAAGCAUCUUUAAGGUAUGCGAUCCACCUCAUAACAGCUGCGUCAUUGGCUUGCCAAAAGAGGAAGGGAAAGGUUGUUGAGAUGGAGGAUAUCAGCAGAGUGUACCAGUUGUUUCUGGACGUGAAGAGAUCAACACAAUACUUGAUGGAAUAUCAGAACCAGUAUAUGUUCAACGAGGUUCCAACAAGAGAGGGAGGUGAUGAAGAUGAUGCUACUGCUGUGCAUUCCUGAAUGUUCUUUGAGUUCAUAUUAAGAGAAAGAAAAAGUGCUCAUCACCUUUUCAUGCACUCUUACAGGUUCACUGCACAUGAGACUUGCAGACAGUACAUGGAUAAAAUCAUAUGGUUGUAGAAGGAGAGAGAUAGAUUUAAGGAUUUGGGGACCCUUGGGCUAUUCGUAGAUCUGGGAAGAUACUAUGAUGUCAGAUAAUUGAGGUAAAACCAAAUAAAGGAUGCAUGGAAGGAAGGAAAUAAUCAAGGGUUUGUUCAGAUAUCUGAGAGUUGUUAAGAUUUGUAUGUGUUUCUAUAGACAUUGAUACCGAACAUUCUAAUUAUCUUGUCCAGCAUGAUGUAAUGAAAUGAGGCUAAAGUUUUACCUUCACUGUGAAUCUGUGAUACCAGUUUCA